rnacentral:rRNA from 1 species
AAUCAACGCUGGCGGCAGGCUUAACACAUGCAAGUCGAACGCCCCGCAAGGGGAGUGGCAGACGGGUGAGUAACGCGUGGGAAUCUACCCAGUUCUACGGAAUAACCCAGGGAAACUUGGACUAAUACCGUAUACGCCCUACGGGGGAAAGAUUUAUCGGAAUUGGAUGAGCCCGCGUUGGAUUAGCUAGUUGGUGGGGUAAUGGCCUACCAAGGCGACGAUCCAUAGCUGGUCUGAGAGGAUGAUCAGCCACACUGGGACUGAGACACGGCCCCGACUCCUACGGGGGGCAGCAGUGGGGAAUAUUGGACAAUGGGCGCAAGCCUGAUCCAGCCAUGCCGCGUGAGUGAUGAAGGCCUUAGGGUUGUAAAGCUCUUUCAGUAGGGACGAUAAUGACGGUACCUACAGAAGAAGCCCCGGCUAACUUCGUGCCAGCCGCCGCGGUAAAAC